rnacentral:ncRNA from 2 species
AACGAAAUAGGCGAUGGAGCUCGCCUUAACCACUGCCAAGCAGUUGAUGGCUCCUACCGGGGA